rnacentral:rRNA from 1 species
CAAUAGCGUAUAUUAAAGUUGUUGCAGUUAAAAAGCUCGUAGUUGGAUUUCUGGUGGGAGCGAUCGGUCUGGCGCUUAGCGCGAGUACUUGCAUCGUCUCCGGCCAUCCUUGGGGAGAGUCUGUCUGGCAUUAGGUUGUCGGGCAGAGGAUCCUCAUCGUUUACUGUGAAAAAAUUAGAGUGUUCAAAGCAGGCUUAUGCCGUUGAAUAUAUUAGCAUGGAAUAAUAAGAUAGGACUUUGGUACUAUUUUGUUGGUUUGCGCACCAAAGUAAUGAUUAAUAGGGACAGUUGGGGGUAUUCGUAUUCCGUUGUCAGAGGUGAAAUUCUUGGAUUUACGGAAGACGAACUACUGCGAAAGCAUUUACCAAGGAUGUGUUCAUUAA